CAAGGAUAAAGCAAGCACAGGAGAUGGAAGAGACUUCUCUUUGCACUCCAAUCAAAAGAUCAGAAACUUCCCACAAAGACUGGCCUACCUGCAACAAAGCUGAGUUCUUCUCUAACUAACAGAAGAGACAGUCUGCUGUUCGAAAGGCUAAGGUAGAAAAACACUGUUAUUCCAAAUUAUCCUUUCUUUAACCAACCCUUAGAAUGAUAAAGCUUGCAUAUUUGAAAUAUCUCUUUUAUAUCUGAAAAGUUCUGGCC
rnacentral:misc_RNA from 1 species